CCUACGGGAGGCAGCAGUAAGGAAUAUUGGUCAAUGGACGGAAGUCUGAACCAGCCAUGCCGCGUGCAGGAUGACGGCCCUCUGGGUUGUAAACUGCUUUUAUAGGGGACGAAAAAAGGGGAUUCUUCCUCACUUGACGGUACCCUAGGAAUAAGCACCGGCUAACUCCGUGCCAGCAGCCGCGGUAAUACGGAGGGUGCAAGCGUUAUCCGGAUUUACUGGGUUUAAAGGGUGCGUAGGUGGGUCGGUAAGUCAGCGGUGAAAUCUUCGAGCUUAACUCGGAAACUGCCAUUGAUACUAUCGAUCUUGAAUCGUCUAGAGGUAAGCGGAAUAUGUCAUGUAGCGGUGAAAUGCUUAGAUAUGACAUAGAACACCAAUUGCGAAGGCAGCUUACUAUGGAUGUAUUGACACUGAGGCACGAAAGCGUGGGGAUCAAACAGGAUUAGAUACCCUGGUAGUCCACGCCCUAAACGAUGGAUACUCGACAUUUGAGAUAUACUUUAAGUGUCUGAGCGAAAGCAUUAAGUAUCCCACCUGGGAAGUACGAUCGCAAGAUUGAAACUCAAAGAUAGUGCGNGNGAGAGCGACGACGACGACGAGGAGGAGGAG
rnacentral:rRNA from 1 species